CCUACGGGAGGCUGCAGUAGGGAAUAUUGCUCAAUGGGGGAAACCCUGAAGCAGCAACGCCGCGUGGAGGAUGAAGGUUUUCGGAUUGUAAAAUCCUUUUGUUAGAGAAGAUAAUGACGGUAUCUAACGAAUAAGCACCGGCUAACUCCGUGCCAGCAGCCGCGGUAAUACGGAGGGUGCAAGCGUUACUCGGAAUCACUGGGCGUAAAGAGCGCGUAGGCGGGAUAGCAAGUCAGAUGUGAAAUCCUAUGGCUUAACCAUAGAACUGCAUUUGAAACUGUUAGUCUAGAGUAUGGGAGAGGUAGGUGGAAUUCUUGGUGUAGGGGUAAAAUGCGUAGAGAUCAAGAGGAAUACUCAUUGCGAAGGCGACCUGCUAGAACAUAACUGACGCUGAUGCGCGAAAGCGUGGGGAGCAAACAGGAGUAGAUACCCUUGUAGUC
rnacentral:rRNA from 1 species